UUUCCGUAGGUGAACCUGCGGAAGGAUCAUUAUCAAUUUUACAGUCCUAGGAUAGGGGUAAAAACCCUAUCCUAUGCUGUUCAACCCUUUGUCUUUUGCGUACUGUAUGUUUCCUCGGCGGGUUCGCCCGCCGAUAGGACACUUCAAAACCUUUUGUAAUUGCAAUCAGCGUCAGAAAAACUAUAAUAGUUACAACUUUCAACAACGGAUCUCUUGGUUCUGGCAUCGAUGAAGAACGCAGC
rnacentral:misc_RNA from 1 species